rnacentral:rRNA from 1 species
AAUCAACGCUGGCGGCGCGCCUAACACAUGCAAGUCGAACGAGAAAGCCUCCUUCGGGAGGUGAGUACAGUGGCGAACGGGUGAGUAACACGUGGGUUACCUGCCCUCGAGUGGGGAAUAACCUUGGGAAACCGGGGCUAAUACCGCAUACGAUCUAAGGAUGAAAGCUUUAUGCGCUCGAGGAGGGACCCGCGGUCGAUUAGCUUGUUGGUGAGGUAACGGCUCACCAAGGCAACGAUCGAUAGCCGGCCUGAGAGGGCACACGGCCACACUGGCACUGAGACACGGGCCAGACUCCUACGGGAGGCAGCAGUGGGGAAUCUUGGACAAUGGGGGAAACCCUGAUCCAGCGACGCCGCGUGAUCGAUGAAGGCCUUCGGGUCGUAAAGAUCUUUCAGCGGGGACUAUUAUGAAGGUACCCGCAGAAGCAGGAGCGGCUAACUAUG